UUCAAACCGGAAACGCCUAAUGCGCGGUUCGGGCAAAAUUUCCCAAAACCAACUCAGAAACAAACGCGGAGAACGCACAACGCUAGGUUUUCAAUUUUCAAAUCUACCAUCACUAUAGGCACCGGGAUGGAAGCGGCGGGCGGCGACGCCUCGAAUCCUCUGAUCUGGGUCCGGAGACGAAGGAAUCACCGCCGGCACGAAUGAGGCCAACCGGCAUCCAGCAGGCCUCUCCGCCACGGUGGACGAACCUAGUGAUGGAGGGCAAGCGAAGUGGGCUGCGGAGAAAUGCGGGCUCCAGGUCCGAGACGAGCCGCUUUGGAGGAGAAGCGUUCGCUUUCGCUCUGGUCUCUCGCGACUGUAAAGCGUAAUCGUUUCGAAUUGUCUUUGCAGUUUGCUUCAUGUUGUUAGAUUGUGUUUGCGCUCGCAAAAUUAGGUGUUCUAAUACUAUGCGUCUAGCACGUUGGUCCGUCGCUUGAGUUGCUUGAGGUUCUAGCCUCGACGUCUAGUGCACAGGUCUCGAGUUGUUUGUGUUGGAUACAAUCCUUGCCAUAUUGUGUAGCAGUACUAAAAUUAGUGGCUAUUGUGAAUCUGAACAUUGGCGUGCAGGUUGACCAUUUCUGGUAGCAACAAACACAAUAAGUAAUAGUCCCGGUUUGCACUUGUAUUGCACUUUUAAUGGUUAUAUGAAAGCCAAUGCCAAAUUACAGAUGUAUUAUCUAGCAUGCAUAAUUGCAUAUACUAUAUCACUAUGAUGGAAUUAUCUACAGGGAACUGCUCUUUAAUAUCUAUUAUCUUGAAAUAACUCAUUAGUAUGUUUACCUGGUUUAAUUUAUAUUUUGAGACCAUUGAUCAUUUGUUGGCUAAUGGCUAUCAAUCUAUCGCUAAUGAUGUUCUAUAGUAUCCAACUUUUCAAUCAAAAAAAUUGGUUCAUAUGUGAGCAAGUAUGUUAUUUGAGGCAACGAGCAUCAAUGAAGUUCCGUAUGGGUGCUAGGAUUUCUAGAUUGACACCGCAAAGAGCAAACUGCUGAGUGCUGAUGUUGUGUACUAUUUCUUGUCAUCUUCGAUGCCAUGAAUAUUGAGCAUAGGACAUGUUCCUCUUCUCUUUUUCUACUCUUAGGAUUUCAUUCUUUAUCGAUUUAUGUGUAUCAUGUCAAGCAUUUCAGACUAUAUUAGAGCUUGUACACAAAUUCUCCUGCUCAUUGGAAUCCCUUCGUGAGGCUUAAGUAAGGAAAAGAAAUCUGGUCAGAGUUCAGCAAACGGCCAUCCUUGUCAGACAUCGAAAUAAUAACGAAGAUGGCUGAGAUGAAGAUUGGGAUGAUUAUAUUGAGCAAAACGGAAAAUUCCCAUUGUUUGUUACGCGAUCAGAGAUAUUUGAGCCAUCCGUUUCAAUACUGCACUGUACAGUUUGUUUAGAUUAAUGAUGACAACAAGGACACAUUUGCUUGGCAAUAUAAGAUGAUAUGCUGGUGGAGUCUGUAGGCUGCGGCUGCCCUUAUCAUGUGAUUGCAAGGUUCUUCAUGCUAUCUUCGAGGCUUCACCAAAACAGGCCCUACCACACUGCCAUUGUAAGUACCCUUUGUAUGUUUCUAGUACAAGCAGAUCUCUAAUGUGAUACUGAUUAGUUUGUAUCUUACUGAACCUGGUUGAUACACCAUAAAUACUAGUUUGUUCCAUGCUGAACUGGCUUGUCCAGGAAAUCAUUCUGAAAUUCUACACGCAAAACCAAGCAAAUCUCUUAUCUGAGCCUUGAACCUUUUUUACCGUGUUAAUCGAGAUAUCACAGAAUUGAACUCACUACUGUUAUUUUUGGUUACUGGGUUAGUUUGCCAAUGGAACCUACUUUUAUUAUUCUCUGUUAUAGAUGUGUUCCCCGAUCCAUAUGCGCUUGUAAAGCUUGCAGGAGUCUACAUAUAUGAUAUUGUCACUUGGGAGGUUAGGGAAGCAGUUCUGCUUCCCAAUCUGUAGGUCAGCACAGCCCACUGGUCCACACAUUCCUUUUCCCCUUUUCCUUUAUGUCUCUUUGCCCUUUGCAUGAUGCCUACCCCUGCUGUCCUUAUGUCCUUGCAUUUUAAUUGUCAUAAUCCCAAAUUCACAUUCUAUGUUCUUGGUCAUUGACUCGUUGUCUCAUACCGAAGUUUUAUGAAUUUAUACAUUCACGCAAAGGGAUUUGUGGUGCAAUUCACAGUACAAUUAUUUCUUUAGCCGAUAUUUGCAAUUGCAUUUUCCACUCAUUUUAAGAAAUUAGAUAUUUCUAUGGUUCUGUGCAUUUUUUUUUAGUAUUAAGAACUAUCGUACUUGAAAUUGGGUUCAGUUUUGUAUGGUCUGCUGUGUUCUUGAACUUUUAGAUCUUCAUUGUCUGGCCACCACGUCCUUUAGGCGUGGUGUCUGGUGGGUACACAAGUGUUGAUCUCCUUUCAUGAUGUCUGCCCUUCUGCAGACUUCACUUGAUAUGAGCUGUUUGCAACAAUAAUUUUCUGUGCAUCGAUUGCACUAAGACACAUAUAAACUGUUCCUGACCAUAUCUAUUUCCUUUGAUAUUUUCAAAUCAUUAGUGCUACAGCAUUUUACCAACUACUAGAACAUUUUGAGAAUCUGAGAUAAGAUUUGGUUAAGGCCAUGGUCCUGUCUGUAUUAUACUAUAUAGUAGGUAGUCUUCUUGUGACUAGCAUAUUCUUUCUUGUAUUAAAGAAUAAGAUUAGGAUGUACAGUUAGCAAUGCAAUUAUUCUACAUGCUCAAUUGACGUUUGGCUUGUAGUUCACUAGCCACUAGCUUGCUACCUUGCUUGAAGUUGGUUCACAAUAGUCAAGUAUACUCUCCAACAUAAAUUCUUAUAAGCAUGAUCUGGAAAGCUGCUUGCAUUUCCUAACAUUUAGAUGUUUCUGUAUCCUGUUUUCUGCCCCUCUUUGGAGAGGCUUCUGGUUAAAAUUACUUCACUGAUGAUGUUACUUUGCUGGAGAAAGAAGAUGCUAAAGGUGCAGUCUCUCACAAUGCUCGUGUAUUUUGAUUUGCUUUUGUUCCUGACCAAAUCAUGUUAAUAAUGGCAGGAACGGUUAGGCUUUUUCCUAUCUAAGCUAACAGAAAUCGUUGUGUUCUACUUUUGUAUGCUGUGUAGAGGAACUUUGGGGCAGGCAAACCAUGUGCCUAGAAUGGGAAUUUUACAAUUAAAGUUCAAGUGGUAGAAAGCAAAUAAAAAAAAUUAAACAACAGGACCAGAUAAUAGAUCCUUUUCCUUUUAUUUUGUCUAGAUUCUUUUCUUUGCACAGUUCAGAUUCUUACAACUAUGCAUAAUAAUCUGUUAUUGUUCUUCCAGCCUUGGCUUUAAAACUUAUUGUUGCUUGUCCCCUCUGUCACUUGCUUACCCUUUUUUUUUCCGGAUAUUACCUGAUCACUCUUAUAAAAACAAGUCAAAUACAAGUUUAUUUGUGUGCAAUGUAAUACAUUUUUAAAUAAAAGUGCAAACUCUUCAGAUCUUCCUUCAUACCUUAGAUUGAAUUAUUUGUGAAAAUAAAGGCAGCUGAUCACAGUUUCUUCUAUGACCACAUUUUCUGAAAGAAUUGACUGGGUUUUCCAUAUUUGAGCAAACACUAUCAGUCACCUAACAAAGUGACCAAACAAAUCUGCGCAUGCCACCUCUCCACAGUGCACACAAAGUAGCUACAGACUACAAUUAAUGUUCUGUAAAGUCAAUUAGUAGAAAAUCUGCUGGCAACAAUACCAUAGUUUAAAUCAAGGUUGCAGAACAUGCUAAUGAAUGAUUCUUUGUGAAAAGCUGCAGGCACCUGCAUGUGGGUGUGGAUCAGAAGGUAACUUGUGCAGAAAGACUGAGAUUGCAUUAUGAGAGAGAGAGAGAGAGAGAGAGAGAGAGAGAGAGAGAGAGAGAGGUAACACAGGCAGCCUGUGGGGGGACACCAUCAGCGAGCCUCCAUGAUUCUCCUCACCACAAAGCAUUGCGGUUUGCUCUCCUGCCCCUCUUAUUAUAUCCUGCCUUUCUCCUAUACUACAAUGUAUCUUAAAUUCUUAAGCCAUUGCAUGAUCAUUUAAACAUUAAGGCUUAUAUAUAAUCAUUUUAUAAAUAUGAACACCCGUCUCGAGUCUGUUACUCAAACUCAGGUGGACAAUUUCCACCCUGGGCUAUAUUACAAGUUGAAUGUCAAUUAACUAUCAUUGGCUAAAGCCCUUCGUUUACUUAUAUUUACUAUAGAAAAUCUACAAGGCCAUGGGGAAUCUGAUCUCACUUGCGUAUAUUUAAAUUGCGAUUAUACUAACUGUGUCUCUGCUCACUGAAAACAUAUGGCGGUAAAAUUUUAAUUUUCAAACAGUUGUCCAUUGCUCACCAACCGGGCCGAGGCGUGCGUAACUGGGCAUACCUGUCCCCGUGCUGCUGUGCCACUCCUCCUAUGCUGCGCCAGAUCGCAAUAAGUUCGCAUUAAAUGCUCCUGCUCCGAUCAAAAGCGGACAGCUUAAAUGAAAGUUGUUGUGACGCAUUGAAUACAAGCAACCUUCAGAUACUGCAGACAUGCGUAGGCAACGAAUCAGAAACUUUGGCAUAGCUUCUGGCCGUAUUUUAGAUUCCCAAAUAUGGUUUUUUUUUCUUGGUCACCAAGAUUCUUCAAUUCUUCGCGCAGGUAAAUUCCCUAGGCUAGGAAUCAGAAACUUUCGCAUAGCUUCUUGCCGUAUUUUGGAUUCCCAAAUAUGGUUUUUUUUUUCUUGGUCACCAAAAUUCUUCAAUUCUUCGCGCUGGUAGAUUCCCUAGGCUAGGAAUCAGAAACAUUCGCAGCUUCUGGCCGAAUUUUGGAUUCCCAAAUAUGGUUUUUUUCUUGGUCACAAAUUAUUCGCAUCCACAUAAAUUCACUCUAAUGUCCUGUUUGACAGGGCAGUUCCAACUCCACUAACAGUUUUUUAGUUCCAAUUCCACGACAGAUCUUGAUUUUUUAGGUUAAAAUAAAUGAUUUAACUUUUCGCUUUUAGACUAAAAUAAAAACAAAAUGACUUAUACAAACACUCUUGUUGU